rnacentral:lncRNA from 1 species
CCGGGCGUCUCCAUUUUGGUCUCAGGUGUGGACUCGGCAAGAACCAGCGCAAGAGGGAAGCAGAGUUAUAGCUACCCCGGCCGCGGAGCCGGCUCACUGCACUACCCCCGCCCCCUUCUUUCCUCCAGACGCCGAAGUCGCGGGCGCUCAUGGCGGGCCUGGAGGUACUGUUCGCAUCGGCAGCGCCGGCCAUCACCUGCAGGCAGGACGCGCUCGUCUGCUUCUUGCAUUGGGAAGUGGUGACACACGGUUACUUCGGCUUGGGUGUCGGUGACCAGCCGGGUCCCAAUGAUAAGAAGUCAGAACUGCUGCCAGCUGGGUGGAACAACAAUAAAGACCUGUAUGUCCUCCGGUAUGAGUAUAAGGAUGGGUCCAGAAAGCUCCUUGUGAAAGCCAUCACCGUGGAGAGCAGCAUGAUCCUCAAUGUGCUGGACCUACAAGAACAGUGAGGAGCUUCGGUCUCGUAUUGUGUCUGGAAUCAUCACACCUAUCCAUGAGCAGUGGGAAAAGGCUAAUGUAAGCAGUCCCCACCGGGAGUUCCCCCCUGCUACCGCCAGAGAGGUGGACCCACUCCGGAUUCCUCCACACCACCCACACACCAGUCGGCAGCCUCCCUGGUGUGAUCCCCUGGGCCCGUUUGUUGUCGGGGGAGAAGACUUAGACCCUUUUGGGCCUCGGAGAGGUGGCAUGAUUGUGGAUCCCCUGAGAUCUGGCUUCCCAAGAGCACUUAUUGACCCUUCCUCAGGCCUCCCGAACCGACUUCCUCCAGGCGCUGUGCCCCCAGGAGCUCGCUUUGACCCCUUUGGACCCAUUGGGACCAGCCCACCCGGACCUAACCCAGACCAUCUCCCCCCGCCGGGCUACGAUGACAUGUACCUGUGAAGGCCUCAAGAAUGUAACAUCCCAGGCUUCCCUCCAUUCUCCUGGAGCUGCCACCGCUGUCCCCAUCAGCAACCAUGUUCUUGCAGGCUGGGGGCAAGGGAUUCUGCUCAUGUGUUUGCAGACCGGCUGGGAUAGCCUCCCCACCCCUUAUCAGAGCCAAGACACCUGCUGCAGCUCUCCACCUAGCUGCAGAUAGCUCCCAAAGAGAAAUCAGUGUGUCUCUUUCACCAUCAGCUCCUCCCCUUUCACCACCAGCUCCUCUCCACUUCCCAAGGGAGACUCCGGCAACCUUCAGCAACAUAUAUCCUCGACCAGAUGCAGUGCUAUAAGAACAGAACGCAUUUUGGAUGUUAUUAUUAAGAACCAAAUGUCAAUACAGAAUUCAUGUUGCCGGUUUCCC